rnacentral:lncRNA from 1 species
UUUUUUAGGAGUGUCCUGAACAGAAAGUAAAAUCCCAUUUUUCAGGAGGGUCCUGAGCCUAAAGUAAAUUUCCAUUUUUUAGGAUGAUCCUAAACAUAAAGUAAAAUUCCAUUUUUCAGAAGGGUCCUGAACAGAAAAUAAAAUCCCAUUUUCUAGAAGGGUCCUAAACAGAAAGUAAAUUCUUACUUUUCAGGAGGGUCCUGAACAAAAAGUAAAAUCCCAUUUUCCUGGAGGAUCCUGAAUAGAAAGUAAAAUCCUAUUUUUAGAAGGGUCCUGAACCUAAAGUAAAUUCUCAUUUUUCAGAAGGGUCCUGAACAGAAAGUAAAGUCCCAUUUUUCAGGAAGGUUCCGAACAGAAAGUAAUGUCUCAUUUUUUAGGAGGGUCCUGAACAGAAAGUAAAGUCCCAUUUUUCAGGAAGGUUCCGAACAGAAAGUAAUGUCUCAUUUUUUAGGAGGGUCCUGAACAGAAAGUAAAGUCCCAUUUUUCAGGAAGGUUCCGAACAGAAAGUAAUGUCUCAUUUUUUAGGAGGGUCCUGAACAGAAAGUAAAUUCCCAUUUUUUAGGAGGGUCCUGAACAAAAAGUAAAGUCCCAUUUUUCAGGAGGGUCCUGAACAAAAAGUAAAAUCCCAUUUUCCAGGAGGUUCCUGAACAGAAAGUAAAAUCUCAUUUUUCAGGAGGGUCCUGAACCUAAAGUAAAUUCUCAUUUUUCAGGAGGGUCCUGAACAUAAAGUGAAUUCCAUUUUUUAGGAGGGUCCUGAAAAGAAAGUAAAGUCCCAUUUUUCAGGAGGGUCCUGAACAGAAAGUAAAGUCCCAUUUUUCAGGAGGGUCCUGAACAUAAAGUAAAAUCCAAUUUUUCAAGAGGGUCCUGAACAGAAAGUAAAAUCUCAUUUUUCAAGAGGGUCCUG